rnacentral:rRNA from 1 species
CUCCAGACUCCUACGGGAGGCAGCAGUGGGGAAUAUUGCACAAUGGGGGAAACCCUGAUGCAGCGACGCCGCGUGAGUGAAGAAGUAUUUCGGUAUGUAAAGCUCUAUCAGCAGGGAAGAAAUAGCGACCUUUGGGUCGCCAGACGGUACCUGAUUAAGAAGCCCCGGCUAACUCCGUGCCAGCAGCCGCGGUAAUACGGAGGAUGCGAGCGUUAUCCGGAUUUAUUGGGUCUAAAGGGUGCGCAGGCGGAGGUGCAAGUCAGCGGUCAAAUUGCGGGGCUCAACCCCGUACUGCCGUUGAAACUGCAUCCCUUGAGUGCGCGAGAAGUAUGCGGAAUGCGUGGUGUAGCGGUGAAAUGCAUGGAUAUCACGCAGAACUCCGAUUGCGAAGGCAGCAUGCCGGCUCCACACUGACGCUGAGGCACGAAAGCGUGGGUAUCGAACAGGAUUAGAUACCCUCGUAU